rnacentral:rRNA from 1 species
UACGUAGGGGGGCAAGCGUUUGUCCGGAAUCAUUGGGCGUAAAGCGCGUGUAGGCGGCCCGGUAAGUCCGCUGUGAAAGUCGGGGGCUCAACCCUCGAAUGCCGGUGGAUACUGUCGGGCUAGAGUGCGGAAGAGGCGAGUGGAAUUCCUGGUGUAGCGGUGAAAUGCGCAGAUAUCAGGAGGAACACCAAUUGCGAAGGCAGCUCGCUGGGACGUGACUGACGCUGAGACGCGAAAGCGUGGGGAGCAAACAGG